GUUCAAGAGAAACGUUUGUGCAGCGUAACAUAAAGGACAGAGGAACUUGACUCUGAGUUUAAUCAAGUCAAGGACCAAAUUCAGAGCAGCAGAACAGAAGGAGACUCCACAACUUGAGGUGAAGUGUUUUAAACUUAAAAGAAAGAAACAACGUAACUUGGAUCUAAAAUCAGUCAGCUGUUUUCAAGAAAAAGAAAAAGAGGAGAAAGCCACGUGUAACCCAGUGUUUAAAAACACAAGAAAAAAAGAAUAAUAAUAGAUGUUAAUUCAAUUCUACCAAAAUAGCUAAAAGGUAAUUACGUAAAAAAAAAAAAAAAAAAAGUGAAAUAGGCCUUUAGUGUUAGCUUCUGUUGGCGGUUUGAGCAGCCAAUGGCUGGCGCGGUCUGGUUUCGCGUCGGCCAAUGGGGUUGAUUGUCCCGCCCCUUUCAACAGCUGGCGGUUGUUUCGUUCGGAGCGCAGCAGACAGGCUUGAGAGCUAACAGCUGACGGUUGCUUCGCUCAGAACGCCUGAGAGCUAACAGCUGACAGCUAGAAAGAAAUUGACAAACCUGGAGAUCUCGGAGAGUUUCCCCUGUAAACAGCUGAACCCCGAAAAAUAGCCGUUGACAGCUCGGAGCAUCGGUCAGGUUUUUUGUUUUAGCUUGUUUGAUACACUUUUGGCUUGGAGGGCCAAAGAUUCCAAGACCCUCUUCUCUUGAACCUGGAUGGCGAGCCCCAGCCCAGAGGACCAGGCGCACGGGUAGAUAGUGACCCGACUGGUCACCAGCUGAGAGACUGAGACUGAACAAUUGACUCAUUGGAGACCGAAGUAUUCAAUUUAUUUAUUUAUUUAUUUUUAUUUUUAAAAGCGCGCAGUAUUUGUUUGUCUGUUUUAAAUGUGGAUCCACCAUUGUUUAUUAUAUUAAAUUUUGCUGUUUUCUUGU